GAUGAACGCUAGCGAUAGGCUUAACACAUGCAAGUCGAGGGGCAGCAUGGUCUUAGCUUGCUAAGACUGAUGGCGACCGGCGCGCGGGUGCGUAACGCGUAUGCAACUUGCCUCACAGAGGGGGAUAACCCGUCGAAAGACGGACUAAUACCGCGUACACUCCAUCUUGGGCAUCCAAGGUAGAGGAAAUGAAAUUCGCUGUGAGAUAGGCAUGCGUCCCAUUAGCUAGUUGGUGAGGUAACGGCUCACCAAGGCGACGAUGGGUAGGGGAACUGAGAGGUUGAACCCCCACACUGGUACUGAGACACGGACCAGACUACUACGGGAGGCAGCAGUGAGGAAUAUUGGUCAAUGGGCGAGAGCCUGAACCAGCCAAGUCGCGUGAAGGAUGACUGUCUUAUGGAUUGUAAACUUCUUUUAUACGGGAAUAACAAGAGUCACGUGUGACUCCCUGCAUGUACCGUAUGAAUAAGCAUCGGCUAACUCCGUG
rnacentral:rRNA from 1 species